CAGUCGCCGCGGUAAUACGAAGGGGGCUAGCGUUGUUCGGAAUCACUGGGCGUAAAGGGUGCGUAGGCGGAUUCUUAAGUCAGGGGUGAAAUCCCGAGGCUCAACCUCGGAACUGCCUUUGAUACUGGGGAUCUUGAGUCCGGAAGAGGUGAGUGGAACUGCGAGUGUAGAGGUGAAAUUCGUAGAUACUCGCAAGAACACCGGUGGCGAAGGCGGCUCACUGGUCCGGAACUGACGCUGAGGCACGACAGCGUGGGGAGCAAACAGGAUUAGAUACCCCAGUAGUCCCUGUCUCUUAUAC
rnacentral:rRNA from 1 species